UACAGAGGUCCCAAGCGUUGUUCGGAUUCACUGGGCGUAAAGGGUGCGUAGGCGGUUGGACAAGUCUGAUGUGAAAUCCCGCAGCUUAACUGCGGAACGGCAUUGGAAACUGUCCGACUAGAGGAAUGGAGGGGAGACUGGAACACUUGGUGUAGCAGUGAAAUGCGUAGAUAUCAAGUGGAACACCAGUGGCGAAGGCGAGUCUCUGGACAUUUCCUGACGCUGAGGCACGAAAGCCAGGGGAGCAAACAGG
rnacentral:rRNA from 1 species